rnacentral:rRNA from 1 species
CUCAGAUUGAACGCUGGCGGCAGGCUUAACACAUGCGAGUCGAGCGGUAGCACAGGGGAGCUUGCUCCCCGGGUGACGAGCGGCGGACGGGUGAGUAAUGUCUGGGAAACUGCCUGAUGGAGGGGGAUAACUACUGGAAACGGUAGCUAAUACCGCAUAACGUCGCAAGACCAAAGAGGGGGACCUUCGGGCCUCUUGCCAUCAGAUGUGCCCAGAUGGGAUUAGCUAGUAGGUGGGGUAAUGGCUCACCUAGGCGACGAUCCCUAGCUGGUCUGAGAGGAUGACCAGCCACACUGGAACUGAGACACGGACCAGACUCCUACGGGAGGCAGCAGUGGGGAAUAUUGCACAAUGGGCGCAAGCCUGAUGCAGCCAUGCCGCGUGUGUGAAGAAGGCCUUCGGGUUGUAAAGCACUUUCAGCGAGGAGGAAGGUGGUGAGCUUAAUACGCUCAUCAAUUGACGUUACUCGCAGAAGAAGCACCGGCUAACUCCGUGCCAGCAGCCGCGGUAAUACGGAGGGUGCAAGCGUUAAUCGGAAUUACUGGGCGUAAAGCGCACGCAGGCGGUUUGUUAAGUCAGAUGUGAAAUCCCCGGGCUCAACCUGGGAACUGCAUUUGAAACUGGCAAGCUAGAGUCUCGUAGAGGGGGGUAGAAUUCCAGGUGUAGCGGUGAAAUGCGUAGAAAUCUGGAAGAAUACCGGUGGCCAAAGCGGCCCCCUGAACGAAGACUGACGCUCAGGUGCAAAAGCCUGGGGAGCAAACAAGGAUAGAAUACCCUGGUUAUCCACGCUUUAAAGAUUU